AUUGGAUGUGAACAUCAAAGACUGAACUGACUGUGGAUUGUUAAACACUUGGAUAGAGAUGAUCCACAAAAGUCUGAAACAUCUCUGCACUAAAUUCUAGAUUCCAUGGAUUACUUCACUGUAUUGGAAGGCUGCUGUUCCUUUUCAAAGAGAGAUGGGUGCCCAUAUUGCUGGAAUAAGAAGUCUUUCUUUGUUGUCUAAUUGAGUACUUGUCAUAGAGGAUGGAAAAACAAGCUGUUAAGUGACAAUUUUC
rnacentral:lncRNA from 1 species